rnacentral:rRNA from 1 species
AUGUUCCCUAUGGUAACUGGGUUCAUGAGUUAUGGUCAACAAACAACACGUGCUACAAGGUACAUAGGUCAAAGUUUCAUAACUACCUUAUCCCACACAAAUCGUUUACCUAUAACGAUUCACUACCCUUAUGAAAAAUUAAUUACACCAGAGCGUUUCUAG